AGUGAACGCUGGCGGUAGGCCUAACACAUGCAAGUCGAACGGCAGCACAGUAAGAGCUUGCUCUUACGGGUGGCGAGUGGCGGGCGGGUGAGGAAUACAUCGGAAUCUACUUUUUCGUGGGGGAUAACGUAGGGAAACUUACGCUAAUACCGCAUACGACCUACGGGUGAAAGCAGGGGAUCUUCGGACCUUGCGCGAUUGAAUGGGCCGAUGUCGGAUUAGCUAGUUGGCGGGGUAAAGGCCCACCAAGGCGACGAUCCGUAGCUGGUCUGAGAGGAUGAUCAGCCACACUGGAACUGAGACACGGUCCAGACUCCUACGGGAGGCAGCAGUGGGGAAUAUUGGACAAUGGGCGCAAGCCUGAUCCAGCCAUACCGCGUGGGUGAAGAAGGCCUUCGGGUGGUAAAGCCCUUUUGUUGGGAAAGAAAAGCAGCAGGUUAAGACCCCGCUGUUCUGACGGUACCCAAAGAAUAAGCACCGGCUAACUUCGU
rnacentral:rRNA from 1 species